rnacentral:tRNA from 1 species
UCUCUUGAGCCGGAUUUGAACCAGCAACCUAAGGAUCACCCGUUGAAACACCUACAGUCCUCCGCUCUGCCAACUGAGCUAAUGAGGGU